CCCGCAAUCAUCAGAAACCUCAUGUCCACUGAAAUCACAACAGCAUCUGUGUCUCUGAGCUGGACUGAACCAUUCGGAAACAGAUCCUUCUACAGAGUAGAAUGGACUGAUGGCAAUACCAAUGGCAGUCAGAAUACCCCAGAAACCUCUUUUAAUGUUACUGCUCUCACUGCUGGAGUGCAGUACCUCUUCACAGUCACUGCAGUGGCUGGAGAUAACACAACUGUAGGACAGAGCAAGACGGUUUCUAAGUAUACAAAGCCCGCAAUCAUCAGAAACCUCAUGUCCACUGAAAUCACAACAGCAUCUGUGUCUCUGAGCUGGACUGAACCAUUCGGAAACAGAUCCUUCUACAGAGUAGAAUGGACUGAUGGCAAUACCAAUGGCAGUCAGAAUACCCCAGAAACCUCUUUUAAUGUUACUGCUCUCACUGCUGGAGUGCAGUACCUCUUCACAGUCACUGCAGUGGCUGGAGAUAACACAACUGUAGGACAGAGCAAGACGGUUUCUAAGUAUACAAAGCCCGCAAUCAUCAGAAACCUCAUGUCCACUGAAAUCACAACAGCAUCUGUGUCUCUGAGCUGGACUGAACCAUUCGGAAACAGAUCCUUCUACAGAGUAGAAUGGACUGAUGGCAAUACCAAUGGCAGUCAGAAUACCCCAGAAACCUCUUUUAAUGUUACUGCUCUCACUGCUGGAGUGCAGUACCUCUUCACAGUCACUGCAGUGGCUGGAGAUAACACAACUGUAGGACAGAGCAAGACGGUUUCUAAGUAUACAAGUAAGUAACUCAGAUACUUUAGUGUUGGAUUGUUUCAAUUCCACAGACACUAUUUGUAUUCAUUUAU